ensembl:lncRNA
CAAUAAAAAACAACAGUGUUACCCCUUAUGUUUUUUUUCAUGGCGACCAAUAAAAAACAACAGUGUUACCCCUUAUGUUUUUUUUCAUGGCGACCAAUAAAAAACAACAGUGUUACCCCUUAUGUUUUUUUUCAUGACGACCAAUAAAAGACAACAGUGGUACCCCUGCCUACGUUUUUGCGGGGAUCCGAACCUGAGCUGUUUAGAGUAUUAACCUCGAACUUAUUAAUGCAAUAUCAAGACACCGAAUAAAGUCAUCACACCUUGUGUUUUUUUUCAUGACGACCAAUAAAAACCUUAUAUUUUUUUGAGUUUAGACCAAUAAAAAACAACAGUGUCACCCCUCAUGUUUCAUUUGAUAAAAACGACAGUGUUACCCCCUAUGUUUUAUUCGAUACAUUUCGACGGUGUUACCCCUUAUGGGUUUUUCAUGACGACAGAUAAAGAACGACAGUCCCACCCUUUGCGUACCUUUUGAUAAAGACAACAGUGUUACCCCUUAUGUUUUUUUUUUCACGACGACCAAUAAAAAACAACAGUGUUACCCCUUAUGUUUUUUUCAUGACGACCAAUAAAAAACAACAGUGUUACCCCUUAUGUUUUUUUUCAUGGCGACCAAUAAAAAGCAACAGUGUUAUCCCUUAUGUUUUUUUUCAUGACGACCAAUAAAAAACUACAGUGUUACCCCUUAUGUGUUUUUCAUGACGACCAAUAAAAAACGACAGUGUUACCCCUUAUGUUUUUUUUCAUGACGACCAAUAAAAAACGACAGUGUUACCCCUUAUGUUUUUUUUCAUGACGACCAAUAAAAAACGACAGUUUGUUACCCCUUAUGUAUUUUUUCAUGACGACCAAUAAAAAACGACAGUGUUACCCCUUACGUUUUUUUUCAUGACGACCAAUAAAAAACGACAGUGUUACCCCUUAUGUUUUUUUUCCUGACGACCAAUAAAAAACAACAGUGUUACCCCUGAUGUUUUUUUCAUGACGACCAAUAAAAAACGACAGUGUUACCCCUUAUGUUUUUUUUCAUGGCGACCAAUAAAAAACGACAGUGUUACCCCUUAUUUAUUUUUUUUCAUGACGACCAAUAAAAAACAACAGUGUUACCCCUUAUGUUUUUUUCAUGACGACCAAUAAAAAACGACAGUGUUACCCCUGAUGUUUUUUUUCAUGGCGACCAAUAAAAAACGACAGUGUUACCCCUUAUGUUUUUUUUCAUGGUGACCAAUAAAAAACGACAGUGUUACCCCUUAUGUUUUUUUCAUGACGACCAAUAAAAAACAACAGUGUUACCCCUUUUGUUUUUUUUCAUGACGACCAAUAAAAAACAACAGUGUUACCCCUUAUGUUUUUUUUCAUGGCGACCAAUGUGGUACCCCUGUCUACGUUUUUGCGGGGAUCCGAACCUGAGCUGUUUAGAUUAUUAACCUCCGAACUUAUUAAUGCACCAUCAAGACACUGAAUAAAGUCAUCACAAUGGUUAUACUUGUCUUUAUAAUUCGCAUGAAAUAGAAAUAAGAGUCUUCCAACAGAGUACACCAACCGGACUUGAACCCCGGUCUCCAGGGGGUUAGCUCACAGCUCUCUCCACUUCCCACUGAGAUUUGUAAUUUGCUUUUUUCUGAGGUUAUAUAUGACAGUACAAUAGACAUGAUAGCAUUACGUUUCAAAUUAAAGAUAUUGUGUUUUCCACAGAAAUUGAGCCGCGAUCUCCAGUGGGUUAGGCAGAGUACACUCCACUGCACCACUGAGGCGAUGACAAUACGCAAUAAUCAAUAAAGAGGAUAUGCAUGACAUUAAAAUGUAUGUGUGUAUUGCUAUUAUUUCCUUUCAUGUUUUUUUUCACGAGGACCAAUAAAAAACAACAGUGUUACCCCUUAUGUUUUUUUUCAUGACGACAAAUAAAAAAACGACAGUGUUAACCCUUAUGUUUUUUUCAUGACGACCAAUAAAAAACAACAGUGUUACCCCUUAUGUUUUUUUUCAUGGCGACCAAUAAAAAACAACAGUGUUACCCCUUAUGUUUUUUUUCAUGGUGACCAAUAAAAAACGACAGUGUUACCCCUUAUGUUUUUUUCAUGACGACCAAUAAAAAACAACAGUGUUAGCCCUUAUGUUUUUUUUCAUGACCACUAAUAAAAAACAACCCUGUCUACGUUAUUGCGGGGAUCCGAACCUGAGCUGUUUAGAGUAUUAACCUCCGAACUUAUUAAUGCACCAUCAAGACACUGAAUAAAGUCGUCACAAUGGUUAUACUUGUCUUUAUGAUUCGCAUGAAAUAGAAAUAAGAGUCUUCCAAUAGAGUACAUCAACCGGACUUGAACCCCGGUCUCCAGGGGAUUAGCUCACAGCUCUCUCCACCUCCCACUGAGACUUGUAAUUUGCUUAUGUCUGAGGUUAUAUAUGACAGUACAAUAGACAUGAUAGCAUUACGUGUCAAAUUAAAGAUAUUGUGUUUUCCACAGAAAUUGAGCCGCGAUCUCCAGUGGGUUUGGCAGAGUGCACUCCACUGAACCACUGAGGCGAUG